rnacentral:tRNA from 1 species
AGGAGAAUAGUUCCAAAGGUAGAACAACGGUCCCCAAAACCACGGGUUAAGGGUUCGAAUCCCUCCUCUCCUG